GAUGAACGCUAGCUACAGGCUUAACACAUGCAAGUCGAGGGGCAUCAGGAUGUAGCAAUACAUUGCUGGCGACCGGCGCACGGGUGAGUAACACGUAUCCAACCUGCCUUAUACUCGGGGAUAACCCUUCGAAAGAAGGACUAAUACCCGAUGGCAUUAUCCUUCCACAUGGUGGGAUGAUUAAAGAAUUUCGGUAUUUGAUGGGGAUGCGUUCCAUUAGCUUGUUGGUAAGGUAACGGCUUACCAAGGCUUCGAUGGAUAGGGGUUCUGAGAGGAAGGUCCCCCACACUGGAACUGAGACACGGUCCAGACUCCUACGGGAGGCAGCAGUGAGGAAUAUUGGUCAAUGGCCGCAAGGCUGAACCAGCCAUGUCGCGUGCGGGAUGACGGCCCUACGGGUCUUAAACCGCUUUUGCACGGGAAGAAAAGCGUCUACGUGUAGACGUGUGACGGUACCGUGCGAAUAAGCAUCGGCUAACUCCGUGCCAGCAGCCGCGGUAAUACGGAGGAUGCGAGCGUUAUCCGGAUUUAUUGGGUUUAAAGGGUGCGCAGGCGGGAUAUUAAGUCAGGGGUGAAAUUUUGCGGCUCAACCGUAAGACUGCCUUUGAUACUGGUAUCCUUGAGUCGGGUCGAGGCAUGCGGAAUGCGGCGUGUAGCGGUGAAAUGCAUAGAUAUGCCGCAGAACGCCGAUUGCGAAGGCAGCAUGCCAGCCCCGUACUGACGCUGAGGCACGAAAGCGCGGGUAUCAAACAGGAUUAGAUACCCUGGUAGUCCGCGCCGUAAACGAUGAUUACCGGUUGUUCGCGGUAAACGGCGAGUGACUGAGCGAAAGCAUUAAGUAAUCCACCUGGGGAGUACGUCGGCAACGAUGAAACUCAAAGGAAUUGACGGGGGCCCGCACAAGCGGAGGAACAUGUGGUUUAAUUCGAUGAUACGCGAGGAACCUACCCGGGUUUGAACGCAUUUCGACCGGUGUGGAAACACACUUUCUAGCAAUAGCGAUUUGCGAGGUGCUGCAUGGUUGUCGUCAGCUCGUGCCGUGAGGUGUCGGCUUAAGUGCCGUAACGAGCGCAUCCCUUAUCGAUAGUUACCAUCAGGUGAUGCUGGGGACUCUAUCGAGACUGCCGGCGUAAGCUGUGAGGAAGGUGGGGAUGACGUCAAAUCAGCACGGCCCUUACAUCCGGGGCGACACACGUGUUACAAUGGCGUGGACAAAGGGCAGCUACCUGGUGACAGGAUGCUAAUCCCAAAACCACGUCUCAGUUCGGAUCGAAGUCUGCAACCCGACUUCGUGAAGCUGGAUUCGCUAGUAAUCGCGCAUCAGCCAUGGCGCGGUGAAUACGUUCCCGGGCCUUGUACACACCGCCCGUCAAGCCAUGGGAGUUGGGGGUACCUAAAGUCCGUAACCGCAAGGAUCGGCCUAGGGUAAAACCGAUGACUGGGGC
rnacentral:rRNA from 1 species